rnacentral:misc_RNA from 1 species
UUCUUUUUCGUAGUUGCUGCUGUUAAUGCCACAUACUGUACGAAUAGAACGAUCGUCGAAUAUCGCGAGUCACUCAUAUUAUACGGAAAUAAUACGCGUCGUGAAACGUGUAAAUUGCUGGCUGUUUGGCGGCUAUGAAGUGUAUGGAAUACACGUUGGCGACCAGUCGCAGGGGCAAGCUGUAGAUGUAUUCCUUGUGCCUUGAAGCUUGCUUCGACCAAGUGGAGAACAAGCAAAAGAAAAAAGAGAAGAUAGAUAGAGAAAGAGAGAGAGGAUGGCUCACG